CCUGUUCAUCCAUGUUGUGUUUUCAGGGCGAGGACGGUCUCAAAGGAACCAAAGGAUACCCCGGACCUGACGGCAACCAUGGCCGAGGGGGGAACUCAGGGCAGCCGGGACCACCAGGCGAGCCUGGAGAACCAGGAUAUGACGGACACAGGGGCGCUAAAGGUCCUCCUGGAACCACCGCCAUGAGUGAGUGCCAGAUGAUCACCUACAUCAAAGACAACUGUGCAUGUGGCCAAGGU